rnacentral:tRNA from 1 species
CAGAAAAUAGUUUAAUAAAAAUAUUAAUUUUGGAGAUUAAUGAUGGGAUAUUUUCUUUUUUCUGA